rnacentral:snoRNA from 1 species
UCUUCCUAUAUCACUUUUUGUUGUUAAGUUGGAAGGAAGACUUACAGUCAGGUACCCAAAAAGAAGAAGAAAAAGAAAGAACUCCUUUUUUGUAAGUCAGAGCUCAUUUUUCAGUAUGUGUUUUGAUAUUUAUAAGAAGGAAUAUU